rnacentral:pre_miRNA from 1 species
AAUAAGAUUAUUUUUUAUUCUUCCGUGUUCAACAUUUGACCAUUCGUCUUAUUUGAAAAAUUUUUACGAUUAAUAUUUUUGUUCUUACUAGAUGAUAAAACAUAAAUAGUACUUUAUACGUAACUAAUUUUUUUAAAUUUUUAUAUAAUUUUUUUAAAUAAAACGAAUUAUCAUAGACACGAAAAA